CCACACCAGGAGGAUGUAACUGGUAUGACAGUUCCUCUGUUUCAUACAUGUUAGUUUUGAAACUUCUCUCGGUGUCCUCCAUUAAUAUUGUGUCCUUCUACACCUGCGCAGGACAACUGCCAUCUGCACAUCAGCCUCAUCCAACUGUAGUUCUGGCUGAUGGCUAUCAUCGUCUGCCGCAGAAUGUCAUGACUGUACUUUUUAUCAUCUCCAAGCAGUGUCUUCAGUAGUUUCCAGAAAUGUCUGGAUUGCUCCAGUAGAAAGUACAUACACUUCAUUAUCAUAAGAGACAAAGAAGGCAAAGUGGAGUCAAGAGUCUAGCAUCCAUGGAAACAGUGGAUCUACAUUGGUGGACAGCUGAGGGGACCCUUUCUAGAUUAUAUUGUCCAGAAGUACAGCUGUAAAUCAUAUUAGAGCUAUAUAUGUGUGCAUCUCUCCAUGAUUUUCAGAAGUUAGUUAGUGCCCUACCUUCUUGUUGAUAGUAGUAGCUUACUGUACCUUUAUUUUUCUCCAGAGAUUAUACGAUAAAAAAUAAAUUUGACUGCUCUAUACCCAGGAAUGGAGACAUUCCUGUGCUGCUCAGACAUUCUCCCACAGGCAGCCAGCUGGUGACUAGAGCUGGUGCCGGACUUAAUUGACCAACAUGAUGACUAGACAAUAAAAUGAUGUGCUAAUGCUCUGUGCAUAAAAUAGAACCACUAUUUUAAGAGUUAGAGGUACUAAGCAGGACACUGUUUAUCUCCAGCUAUGGUCAGCAAGAUUAUGUAGCAAUAAAAGCCAUCUUAACAGUAACAUCUCUAGACACAAUAGUAUAACAGUGACAUUUUUUUCUUUAUCAUCUGGAAUUCUUGAUAUUCAAGGACUCCAGUGUCUCACUCAUGAAUCCUACCAAUAUUACGUACACACUCCUUAGCAGCCCCUGUGUAUACAAUCACAAUAAUUUCACACACAUAUAUACAUAGGCACACACACAUAUGCAGACACAUAUACAGACACAAACACACACACACACACACAAUUAAAAUGGUCACUGAUUAUCUGCUGUCUGGGAGUGACAUGAAUAGAAAGUGAGUCAGUUCUUCUGUUGAUUUCAGUCAAAUGAUACACACAUUCCUUUAGAAAGUUCGAGUUUUGUCACGUUCUGUGAAAUAAGACUAGGGCACAUUAACACUUAUUUUACUGUAUGACCUUUAACAGGCUACUGUAUAUAUUUACAGAAAUGAUACUAAUGAAAGUUAUACAAAUAAAACAUUUGGAUACUC